GGGGAUAUAACUCAGUUGGUAGAGUGCUUGCCUUGCAUGAACAAGACCCUGGGUUCAAAUCCUAGCCUCCUCC
rfam:Ictidomys tridecemlineatus contig048385, whole genome shotgun sequence.